AAAUUGAAGAGUUUGAUCAUGGCUCAGAUUGAACGCUGGCGGCAGGCCUAACACAUGCAAGUCGAACGGUAACAGGAAGAAGCUUGCUUCUUUGCUGACGAGUGGCGGACGGGUGAGUAAUGUCUGGGAAACUGCCUGAUGGAGGGGGAUAACUACUGGAAACGGUAGCUAAUACCGCAUAACGUCGCAAGACCAAAGAGGGGGACCUUCGGGCCUCUUGCCAUCGGAUGUGCCCAGAUGGGAUUAGCUUGUAGGUGGGGUAACGGCUCACCUAGGCGACGAUCCCUAGCUGGUCUGAGAGGAUGACCAGCCACACUGGAACUGAGACACGGUCCAGACUCCUACGGGAGGCAGCAGUGGGGAAUAUUGCACAAUGGGCGCAAGCCUGAUGCAGCCAUGCCGCGUGUAUGAAGAAGGCCUUCGGGUUGUAAAGUACUUUCAGCGGGGAGGAAGGGAGUAAAGUUAAUACCUUU
rnacentral:rRNA from 1 species